GGGCUCGUGGGGUAGCCAGGAUAUCCUAAUGGGCUUCGAAUACCCAUUGACUCGUGUUCGAAUCGCGGCGGGCCCG
rnacentral:tRNA from 1 species